UACGUAGGGAGCAAGCGUUGUCCGGAAUCGAUUGGCGUAAAGCGCGCGUAGGCGGCCCUGUAAGUCCGUUGUGAAAGUCAAAGGCUCAACCUUUGAAAGCCGAUGGAUACUGCAGGGCUGGAGUCCGGAAGAGGCGAGUGGAAUUCCUGGUGUAGCGGUGGAAUGCGCAGAUAUCAGGAGGAACACCAAUAGCGAAGGCAGCUCGCUGGGACGGUACUGACGCUAAGGCGCGAAAGCGUGGGGAGCGAACAGG
rnacentral:rRNA from 1 species